rnacentral:rRNA from 1 species
CACUAACACUCCUACGGGAGGCAGCAGUGGGGAAUAUUGCACAAUGGGGGAAACCCUGAUGCAGCCAUGCCGCGUGUGUGAAGAAGGCCUUCGGGUUGUAAAGCACUUUCAGUAGGGAGGAAGGUAGUGUAGUUAACACCUGCAUUAUUUGACGUUACCUACAGAAGAAGCACCGGCUAACUCCGUGCCAGCAGCCGCGGUAAUACGGAGGGUGCGAGCGUUAAUCGGAAUUACUGGGCGUAAAGCGCAUGCAGGCGGCCUGUUAAGUCAGAUGUGAAAGCCCGGGGCUUAACCUCGGAAUUGCAUUUGAAACUGGCAGGCUAGAGUCUUGUAGAGGGGGUAGAAUUUCAGGUGUAGCGGUGAAAAUGCGUAGAGAUCUGAAGGAAUACCAGUGGCGAAGGCGGCCCCCUGGACAAAGACUGACGCUCAGAUGCGAAAGCGUGGGGAGCAAACAGGAUUAGAUACCCUGGUAG